AUGUGUAGAUUGUCCCAAUCUCUGCGUGAUGCCCUUUCUGGGGAGCUAAUGUCUCGUUAUUGCCCAAAGUUGUCUCUGCCACCCAUGCCUCACACGUCCACGCUGACAUUUUGUCGUGUGGCACUUCCUUCUUCAUUGCUUAGUUAUUCUGAAGGGCACAUGAUCAUUGAUGGGUAUAGUGGUGGGCUGUCAGCGGAGCUCAAUAAACUGAAAUCCAUAGCAAGAUUAUAUUUCUCCGAAUGCAGCAUCACGUGCCCUGGACUGCAGGAUAUCACUUGCCUCGAAUCAGUUAAAGUAAAGGAUUGUCCCAACUUGUUUCGGUGGCCCAUCGAAGCAGCUCACACCAUCAGGCCUUUCCCUGCUUCCCUCAAGGAACUUAAGAUCAAAGGAGAGUCAGGCAUGCAGUCAAUGGUUCUUCUCUCAAACCUCACUUGUCUCACAAGUCUAAAACUGGUGGACUGCGAGAAUUUAACAAUGGAUGGGUUCAAUCCUCUCAUCAGAGUCAACCUUGAUGAUUUGAUGGUGUAUAACACAGAUAAGUGUCUUGGCCGCUCUGUAUCAGCGGAUAUGUUCUCGGAAUUGGCGGGAGCAAGGACCAACCUAUCAUUGCCGACAGGCUCCUUCCGAUUGAGAUUGCUUAAAGUGGAUUGCAUCUCAGCGGUGCUUGUUGCUCCCAUCUGCACCCUCCUCGCCGCUACCCUCGAGGUUUUAAUAUUCAUUCAUGAUCAGCGGGCGGAAAGCUUCACGGGAGAGGAAGAGAGAGCUCUUGAGCUCCUCACAUCCCUUAAGUUCUUCACUGUUCGGAAUUGCCCGAAUCUGCCGUCCCUUCCUCAGGGGUUAUACAGCCUUCCUUCUCUUCAGCAAAUAGUUGUCGGUUGUUGUCCUCAAGUCCAAUCUCUGCCAAAGGGCCCCUUCCCCACUUCACUGAAGGCACUACGCGCAACAGGUUGCAGUCCCGAGUUACAAGAGCAAAUUGAGAAAUUAGAGGGAAGCCUACCAGGUUUUGAUACUGAUUCUGAGUAA
rnacentral:rRNA from 1 species